UGUUAAGUUGGUUUACUUCGAAUUUAAUAUGCAUUACUCUGGUAUUUCUCCAGUUUUCUAAGAAGGUUGGUGAUUUUGAAUUGGGGUUAUGAUGAAUUUAACCCAAAGGCAAUGUGUGUUUAUUUAUGUGGCAAAAUUCCAGGCACCAUAAAAAUUUGAGUUUCUUCCUGUUGCCCAUGGAUGAAAAUCGGUUUGCAGAAUGAAAAGAAAUUGUUCAAUGUGAUUAACUUUUAAAUAUGCACUUUACAUCUUGAGGAGCAGGCCUUUGCAGAAAUACUGAAAAGCGGGUUGCAAAACAACGCAAAAUAAAAUAAACGAAAUAUGUCUUGAGAUUAAAGAUUCAAGUUGAAGGUGUGUUCUUUCUUAAACUGGAAUGAUGUAAUUCUGUAGGCACAUCUAUUGAGAAGUUACAACCAGUGGCAAAGUGCCUUAAGGGAAUCUAUGACAUAUAUAAUUGAAGGUAUCAGCAUUGGCUCUACAGCCCAUGGUGGGUCUUGGCCUGUUCCAGAAUCAGCUUCCACUCUUUCCUAUCCUGUGCUUGGCUUUCCAAUUUCUCACUCGAGCAUGAAUUUUUGGUAUAUAUGGGAUUAUAUUGUGAUAACGACCAGAUCUAUGAAAGAAUAGUAUGUUGUUAAAGAGGAUUGUGGUGACACUAUUCAUGAAUAUCUGAUAAUAUUGGUUAAUGUGAAUGGAGUCCAAAAUGGGGUUUAGGUUGUUAUAUAAAAAACUAGGUCAUUAGCAUAUGGAAGUAGGGUGACAUUAUCUGGUAUUAAAUUAUGUGAAUGAGGAGAAUUAAACCUAAAAACUCUAUUUAUUCUGCCAAUCAAUAUGAUUUUAAUAUAUUUUAAUAUAAAACAUAUGUUAUUCUUUCUAGGGACAUCUCCUCUGAAGGAAUUACAAUUAUUUGCCAGUAUGUCAAAUGAAUUUUCAACAGCAGUCAUACUUUCAUGAAUUUAUUGAUGAAAAUAAAACUAGGUACAUGAUUUAUUAUUUACUUCCAAGGGAUUCUAAGAUACUAUGUGUAAAAAGUCCAAUAUGCAGUGAUGAGCAUGCUAAUAACUGGCAAAAUAUGGGAUAUAACGCCAAAGAUGGGAAACAUGGGAUGCAUUCUGAAGUAAAAAGAGAUGAAACUGAGAGAAAUUAUCGAUAUAAACAUAUAAAUUAACAUUACAUUACAUAGUUUCCCACCUUUAGACAUAUCAGAUGAGAAUUAGAACUGUCACUGUGCCAGGAGAAUUUUAUAAAAUACUCCUGUCACAGAGAUCUAAAGGUGGGAAACUAUGUAAUGUUAUCGUCGGCUAAGAGUGUUAACCUGCUAACUCCAUUUUUCACUGUGAGUGAUAUUGGGGUAGUUUCUAGGUCUGUGUACCUUCAUACCAUGUCCCACAAGCCCGCUGGUUCCACUGUAGUUUAGAGAUAGCUAUUUCUAAACUACAUUGGUGUCGGCGGGUUUGUGGGGUGGUGUAUGAAAAUACACGGACCCAGAAACUAGCCCAAUAUCACUCAAAGUGAAAAAUGGAGUUAGCAGGUUAAAACUCUUAUCCAAGGUUAUGUUAAUUUAUUCGUUUAUAACGAUAAGUUCCACUUCUACCAGUUUCAUCUCUUUUUAUCUCACAAGUUAAUAUGUUUUCCAUCUUUUGCGUU